rnacentral:rRNA from 1 species
AGCAGCCGCGGUAAUUCCAGCUCCAAUAGCGUAUAUUAAAGUUGUUGCAGUUAAAAAGCUCGUAGUUGAAUUUCGGGAUUUGUCAGUUGGUCGGGCUUCACUGUCCGUAUUGACUUGAUGGAUUCUUACCUUCUGAAUAACCAGCAUGCUAUUAAGUUAGUGCGUUGGGGAAGCAGAUCUAUUACCUUGAAAAAAUUAGAGUGCUUAAAGCGAGCUAGUGCUUGAAUAGAUUAGCAUGGAAUAAUAAAAUAGGACGGCAUGGUUCUAUUUUGUUGCUAUUUUGUUGGUUUCUAGGAUCACCGUAAUGAUUAAUAGGGAUAGUUGGGGGCAUUAGUAUUCAAUUGUCAGAGGUGAAAUUCUUGGAUUUAUUGAAGACUAACUUCUGCGAAAGCAUUUGCCAAGGAUGUUUUCAUUAAUCAAGAACGAAAGUUAGGGGAUCGAAGACGAUCAGAUACCGUCGUAGUCUUAACCAUAAACUAUGCCGACUAGGAAUCGGACGAUGUUAAUUUUAUAAUGACUCGUUCGGCACCUUACG